rnacentral:rRNA from 1 species
GUAGUCUCGCACAGAUGCAUAUCAAUAAGCGGAGGAAAAGAAACUAACAAGGAUUCCCCUAGUAACGGCGAGUGUAAGCGGGAAGAGCUCAAAUUUGAAAUCUUAAAGGGUUUCCCUUUACGAAUUGUAGUUUAAAGAAGUGUUUUCUGUUGAGGUUUUGGUAAAAGUUCUUUGGAAUAGGACAUCAUAGAGGGUGAGAAUCCCGUAUUUGACCUUUACUUUCAACUUUGUGAUACACUUUCAAAGAGUCGGAUUGUUUGGGAAUGCAGUCCAAAAUGGGUGGUAAAUUUCAUCUAAAGCUAAAUAUUGGCGAGAGACCGAUAGCGAACAAGUACCGUGAGGGAAGAGAUGAAAAGAACUUUGAAAAGAGAGUUAAACAGUACGUGAAAUUGUCAAAAGGGAAGCGUUUGACACCAGUGUUGUUUUUCUGAAAAUCAAUUAAAGAACUGUUUAUGCUAAGUUCGUUUAGACUUUAUCAGCUAAUCUGUUUAGUUUUGAGCUUUUCUUUAAUGCACUUUUCAGUUAACAAGUCAACAUCAAUUUCUUUUGCUGUAAAAAAGCUUGAGGAAGGUGGCUUGAGAUUCGUCUUAAGUGUUUAUAGCCUCUUGCCUAUGCAGUCGGAGAGAUUGAGGUCUGCAGCGUAGAUCCUUCGGGGCUAAAUGCAUUUGUGCUAAGUUAUAGCAUUUUAUAGACAACUUGUUGACUAUGAUUUGUCUUGUAGCUUACUCGCUUAUGUUAUUUUACCUACGCUUAGGAUGUUGAUCUGUAGUGCGUGCGC